AUUGAACGCUGGCGGCAGGCCUAACACAUGCAAGUCGAGCGAGAGGCGGACGGGAGAGUAAUGUAUGGGGCCUGCCCGAUAGAGGGGGAUAACUACUGGAUACGGUGGCCACAUCCGCAUACUAUCGGCUAACCCAUAUGGGAUUGGCUAGUGGGUGGGGUAAAGGCUGACCUAGGCGUCGAUCGCUAGCUGGUCUGAGAGGAGGAUCAGCCACACUGGGACGGAGACACGGCCCGAACUCCUCCGGGGGAAGCAUGGGGGAAUAUUGCCCAAUGGGCGAAAGCCGGUUGCGGCCAGGCCGGGUGGAUGAGGAAGGCCUUAGGGUUGAAAGGUCCUUUCAGCGGGGAGGCGUUACCCGCAGAAUAAGCACCGGCUAACUCCGUGCCAGCCGCCGCGGUAAUAC
rnacentral:rRNA from 1 species